rnacentral:rRNA from 1 species
GACGAACGCUGGCGGCGUGCUUAACACAUGCAAGUCGAACGGAAAGGCCCUGCUUUUGUGGGGUGCUCGAGUGGCGAACGGGUGAGUAACACGUGAGUAACCUGCCCUUGACUUUGGGAUAACUUCAGGAAACUGGGGCUAAUACCGGAUAGGAGCUCCUGCUGCAUGGUGGGGGUUGGAAAGUUUCGGCGGUUGGGGAUGGACUCGCGGCUUAUCAGCUUGUUGGUGGGGUAGUGGCUUACCAAGGCUUUGACGGGUAGCCGGCCUGAGAGGGUGACCGGCCACAUUGGGACUGAGAUACGGCCCAGACUCCUACGGGAGGCAGCAGUGGGGAAUAUUGCACAAUGGGCGGAAGCCUGAUGCAGCAACGCCGCGUGCGGGAUGACGGCCUUCGGGUUGUAAACCGCUUUCGCCUGUGACGAAGCGUGAGUGACGGUAAUGGGUAAAGAAGCACCGGCUAACUACGUGCCAGCAGCCGCGGUGAUACGUAGGGUGCGAGCGUUGUCCGGAUUUAUUGGGCGUAAAGGGCUCGUAGGUGGUUGAUCGCGUCGGAAGUGUAGUCUUGGGGCUUAACCCUGAGCGUGCUUUCGAUACGGGUUGACUUGAGGAAGGUAGGGGAGAAUGGAAUUCCUGGUGGAGCGGUGGAAUGCGCAGAUAUCAGGAGGAACACCAGUGGCGAAGGCGGUUCUCUGGGCCUUUCCUGACGCUGAGGAGCGAAAGCGUGGGGAGCGAACAGGCUUAGAUACCCUGGUAGUCCACGCUGUAAACGGUGGGUACUAGGUGUGGGGUCCAUUCCACGGGUUCCGUGCCGUAGCUAACGCUUUAAGUACCCCGCCUGGGGAGUACGGCCGCAAGGCUAAAACUCAAAGGAAUUGACGGGGCCCCGCACAAGCGGGGGAGCAUGCGGAUUAAUUCGAUGCAACGCGUAGAACCUUACCUGGGUUUGACAUGGAUCGGGAGUGCUCAGAGAUGGGUGUGCCUCUUUUGGGGUCGGUUCACAGGUGGUGCAUGCCUGUCGUCAGCUCGUGUCGUGAGAUGUUGGGUUAAGUCCCGCAACGAGCGCAACCCUUGUUCACUGUUGCCAGCACGUUAUGGUGGGGACUCAGUGGAGACCGCCGGGGUCAACUCGGAGGAAGGUGGGGAUGACGUCAAGUCCUCAUGCCCCUUAUGUCCAGGGCUUCACGCAUGCUACAAUGGCUGGUACAGAGAGUGGCGAGCCUGUGAGGGUGAGCGAAUCUCGGAAAGCCGGUCUCAGUUCGGAUUGGGGUCUGCAACUCGACCUCAUGAAGUCGGAGUCGCUAGUAAUCGCAGAUCAGCAACGCUGCGGUGAAUACGUUCCCGGG